rnacentral:tRNA from 1 species
CUUGUCAUAGUCAAAUCACAAUAUUUGUGGUUCUCA